GGAACGUACCUUUUGGUUCGGAACAACACAGGGAAACUUGUGCUAAUACCGGAUAAGCCCUUACGGGGAAAGAUUUAUCGCCGAAAGAUCGGCCCGCGUCUGAUUAGCUAGUUGGUGAGGUAAUGGCUCACCAAGGCGACGAUCAGUAGCUGGUCUGAGAGGAUGAUCAGCCACAUUGGGACUGAGACACGGCCCAAACUCCUACGGGAGGCAGCAGUGGGGAAUAUUGGACAAUGGGGGCAACCCUGAUCCAGCCAUGCCGCGUGAGUGAUGAAGGCCCUAGGGUUGUAAAGCUCUUUUGUGCGGGAAAUAA
rnacentral:rRNA from 1 species